rnacentral:rRNA from 1 species
UACAGAGGUCCCAAGCGUUGUUCGGAUUCAUUGGGCGUAAAGGGUGCGUAGGUGGCGCUGUAAGUCGGGUGUGAAAUUUCGGAGCUUAACUCCGAAACUGCAUUCGAUACUGCGGUGCUUGAGGACUGGAGAGGAGACUGGAAUUUACGGUGUAGCAGUGAAAUGCGUAGAGAUCGUAAGGAAGACCAGUGGCGAAGGCGGGUCUCUGGACAGUUCCUGACACUGAGGCACGAAGGCCAGGGGAGCAAACGGGG